ACGAUUUUUCGGGGUGGAACCAAAAGUUGAAGAAGUUUGGUUCCGCCCGGAUGUUUCCGUCCAGACCGGAAAACAGAAACACCGGACAUCCGGCAGCUUCGCGAAGGCUGUAAUCAGCCGAUUGGGCACAGCUGUGCCUAGUUAAAGAGAUCGCCGGGCAAUUGGAUAACUGGAGUACAGAGAGGAGUAUAAAAAGCACAGUUAGAUCACAGUUGAGGGUCGUAGUGUGUGCUGAGGAACGGAGCUGUGCUCAUUGUUAGACGUGGUGGCUGUCUGUAUUUCUCUCUCUCUCCCUCUCUUGUUGUAGUUUACGGUGGACCUGCUGGAGUAAAUGAAGAAUCCUAUGGGUAGAAAGGAACCUUGGUCUAACCAGUAUUUUUGAAGGAGUAAACAGGAAGAAAAUUGACCUUGUUGCACAACGUAAACAAAGGCUAUCCGCUGUGAGUAUACCCGUUGGUGUGGAGUAACUUGCAUAAAUUAACCUGUGUGAUCGUUGGAGUCCUCCAGGACUAGGAGGGCGGCCCUACCCCUAUAACAGCGUGGUGGGCGAGCCGCUAGAAGUGUACGUCCAAACAGCCACAGCAACGAGACUUUAUUUUGGUCGUGUUUCCAUCGCCCCUCUUUCAGCCCAAGCGCAGUGGAGGACACCGGGCGCUUUCCCUUGUGGUGUUGCACUGAUAGUGUGAGUCAGAGGCGAAAGGGUCCGCCGCCCCCGUGGUCUCUACAAAAGGGCGCCCCUGUCCAGGAUUCGAUCGGCCUACGGGCAGUGGAGGUAGGGCAGCGCUCGACCCGGCGAGGUGGUGUGUGACCUUCGCCCCUCUGCUGACCUACAGAGGAAACCGUACCUACCCAGAAAGCUGUAAGCAGCAGAGCCGGUGAGAGAUACUCGAAGUUUCAGUAACAGUGUCUUUGUGUCCUAGCGACCACCUGUGGAGAGAGAGGAAAACCAGAGUGAAUAAUUGAAGAACAGACUGUGAACGUAAUACCUACCCAGAGAGCUGUAAGCAGCAGAGCCGGUGAGAAAUACUCGAAGUCUCAGUAACAGUGUCUUUGUGUCCUAGCGACCACCUGUGGAGAGAGAGGAAAACAAGAGUGAAUAAUUGAAGAACAGACUGUGAACGUGAUACCUACCCAGAAAGCUGUAAGCAGCAGAGCCGGUGAGCAAUACUCGAAGUUUCAGUAACAGUGUCUUUGUGUCCUAGCGACCACCUGUGGAGAGAGAGGAAAACAAGAGUGAAUAAUUGAAGAACAGACUGUGAACGUGAUACCUACCCAGAACGCUGUAAGCAGCAGAGCCGGUGAGCAAUACUCGAAGUUUCAGUAACAGUGUCUAUGUGUCCUAGCGACCACCUGUGGAGAGAGAGGAAAACAAGAGUGAAUAAUUGAAGAACAGACUGUGAAUGUGAUACCUACCCAGAAAGCUGUAAGCAGCAGAGCCGGUGAGAAAUACUCGAAGUUUCAGUAACAGUGCCCUUGUAUCCUAGCGACCACCUGUGGAGAGAGAGGAAAACGAGAGUGAAUAAUUGGAGAACAGACUGUGAACGUGAUACCUACCCAGAAAGCUGUAAGCAGCAGAGCCGGUGAGAAAUACUCGAAGUUUCAGUAACAGUGUCUUUGUGUCCUAGUGGCCGCCUGUGGAGAGAAAGGAAGACGAGAGUGAACAAUUGGAGAACAGACCGUGUAACGUGCUACCUACCCCGAGAGCAGUAAACAGCAGAACCGGUGAGGAAUAUACCAAAUCCAAGCUAACAGUGUUUCUGUGUCGCAGUGAUCACCUGUGGGGAAUAAGGAGAACGAGGGUGGACGUACGACGGGGAACGUGAAGGCACGCGGGGCGAGACCCCCUGCCGAACUGAGGAAAGGUACACGGACAGUGGGAAAUCCCCUACCAGUCACACCGAAAUUGUCUGCCUCCAGGAAAGAAGAAGGAGGGCGCCACGGUUAGCAGGGUCCAGGCCGGAGCCUGACGUUUCCCUCUUCCCCCCGGCUUAUGGUGGUUGGCACCCCUGUUGCCUUUGCCCCAGUCUGCCCGUGGCUGUAGUCUCCCUGGAGGGAGGAGAAGAAGCCUAUUAGUUCUAAAUUCCCCUUUCCCCAAUUCCCCAGUUCUUUUAAGUAUUUAAAUCAAAUAAAGCUUGUUUUAAAUUUUACUCA